GCCCAGGUAGCUCAGUGGUAGAGCACUUGCAUGGUAAGCAAGUGGCCGUAGGUUCGAUUCCUAUCUUGGGCA
rnacentral:tRNA from 1 species